rnacentral:lncRNA from 1 species
AAGAAGAGGAUGGCUGAUUGGAACAGCCUGAACAAACUGAAUCGCCUGGGGAGUUAUGCUUUAUGCUCAUGAUAAUUUCCCAGGUCCUUCCUUUUUUUUCUCCUCUUUUGGUGAUUCGUUUUUGUAAAAAGAAUCUGUAAGGUUAACUUAGAUUCCUUGUGGACACAUAUAUUAGAAGUUUUUGAAAGUUGGAAAAGAAGUAAAAUCGAAUCUUCCUUAGUAUCAUUAUUCAUUAUCUAAGCAAAAAUAUCUUUCAUAUCUGAUGUAUACGAUAUAUGAACUAAGAAUAUACACCAAUUACUAGUUCAGACAAAUACAAAUACUGUAUUGUACAGUUUCUGUUGUGCCUCAGAAAUAAAGAUUCUCUUCUUCUAUGGAUUCUCUGACUGCCUUCAAUAUCCAUGGCUUGAGUUUCUUGGUGGUAACUAUGAUCCCCGUUUUGUGAGCAAGAUACUUUCCUUUCGAGAAGUCCAGAGAUUUCCCUGUAGCAUCACACACUACGCCUCCAGCUUCUGCACAAGUGAUUAUUGAACCAGGUGCAUGGUCCCAAAUACACUCACGGUAUCCAUUGAGAGUGAAACGCAAGUAUAUCUCUGCGUCUCCUCGCGACAAAGCCGCAUACUUAGCUUGGCUAUCGAUCCUUACAGGUGAAUGAUACCUUUUGUGGCAGAGAAUUGCCUUUGAGCGAUUGCACGUAAGUCCCUGAACCCGUUGUAGCAAAGAAAAGACAGCCAACAUCUUCCUGGGAAGAAUUAUCAGUCGCGCAAACCGCAGAAGCCAAAGGAAGAUUUGGGCAAGCCAUGACACCAAGCACCACUUUGCCUUCCACAAGCAAGGCUAACCCCACCGCGUAUUGCUCUCCUCUUACAAAUCUAAACAAGCAGAGAAGUUUAGCAACCAUGUUUUUAAGUGGCUGAAAAGAUUAAGUAUAGAGAAAGCAUAGAGAUUAGAGAGAUUGUCACCCUCUGGUUCCAUCUAUAGGAUCAAGAACCCAGUGGGAACCUUUGCAACCGCCUUCUGAUUUACCGCAGUCUAUAGCAUUUAACACAUCAUCUGUGGAUAGAGGAGAGCUGGUGUACGAUUCCUCAGAGGCUAGAGUAUCUUUCACAAGCUUUGCAAUAUCUUCUAGAAACGCCUCACUUCCAUUCUUCCGCAGAUCUCCAGUUUCCUGUUGGAGCUCCCUCUCCAAUACAAGACUAACCACAGCUUGUGAGCCUGAAGAAACCAUCCGUUAAUGGGAGUGGUAAAAGACAUUUUCUUGAUUGAUUUUAUAGAGAAAACAAGAACUUAGCAAAAACAGAAACUUGAAGUUGAAUUCGCGGGUAUGCAAACGACGAGGUACAAACCGUAAUCAGCUGCAGUAACCGGACUUCUAUCGGAUUUUUUCCAAACUUGGGAUUGCAAAAGAGUCUUCUGCACUUCCUGAUUCAUUACAUAAUAAGGUUUGUUUUAGUUUCAGCGAUUCAUAUAAGCUCCAUGCUCUGACUCUAGCUCAGUAGCUUGUUACCUGGCUGAGACGAGCAGCUAGAGUGACGGCUUUCUUUGCAGCGGCUAGCUCCUUCUCAUAAGACAUUGAAAAGCUUCAAGAAUAGACUAUGUAAAAGCUUAUUCUAUCUAAUAAUGGUUUUAUAUAUUGAAACAAUUUAUAGCCGUACUCUAAGUCAGGACGUAGUCAACAUCGUUGAAUGAUAUAAUAUAACCGAGUGUAUCGUGUGAGACGGAGUUGGUGCAAACCAUCUUUCACGUAAUUAUACACAACAAGUUGACGCUAAAAAAAGAAGAGGAUGGAUAGAAUAUGUAG